GUCGCAUUGUAGGUCGUGCAGCAUUAAAUGCCGCAGUGCUUGAGACGAUCUUCUGUGAUGAUUGCAGAAGAUUGGAUGAUCGAACAAUAAUUCAUUGAGAUACCCGAGUCAUCCAUGUGUCAGUCAUCUAUUAGCCCAACUUGUGAUCAUGCAGAUCUGGCUAAUUUGGUGUGAUCUCGAUGGUGGUGCAUCGAAAAGCCAAAAUAAUGGUCGGCU
rnacentral:lncRNA from 1 species